rnacentral:tRNA from 2 species
GCUUGAAUAGUUUAAGAAAAAAAUAUUGGUUUGUGGGGCCAAAGAUAUAAUAUUUAUUUUGAGCA